rnacentral:tRNA from 5 species
CUAGACAUUAAGUUAAACUUCCUAAUAUUAGUAGGACUAACUCUAUGUUUUAUUUACGACUA